GGAUUAGAUACCCUGGUAGUCCACGCCGUAAACGAUGAGAACUAGGUGUUGCGGGUAUCGACCCCUGCAGUGCCAAAGCUAACGCAUUAAGUUCUCCGCCUGGGGAGUACGGUCGCAAGAUUAAAACUCAAAGGAAUUGACGGGGGCCCGCACAAGCGGUGGAGUAUGUGGUUUAAUUCGAUGCAACGCGAAGAACCUUACCUGGAUUUGACAUCCUCGGAACUUUUCAGAGAUGAAUUGGUGCCUUCGGGAACCGAGUGACAGGUGCUGCAUGGCUGUCGUCAGCUCGUGCCG
rnacentral:rRNA from 1 species